UCUAAACCAGAAGAAGAAUUUGGUAAAAACUGGACAUUGAUUGUGGAAUAUUUAGCUGCAUCUCGGUUUCCUACAACCAUGAUUAGAGUGCAUGAAGCCCAGAAAGGCCUGCCACCACGAAUCCUUCUUGAUACUGAUGUGGCCCCAUUUAUCAGUGACUUUACGUCUCUUCAGAACACAUUGCUGUCAGGUGUAAAUAUUGUUUCCAGUACACAUAAACUGACAGGUUCAUCAUCUUUGACUCUAUGGAAAUUGUUAAUGAAUACGCAACUUGCAAGGAGAGUCUUUGUAGAGAUAGUUGAUAGAUUUCUUUUCAUUGUAAAUUAAAAGUUCUGAAGAUCAUCAACAGAUUAAAAAUGAAUGUAUCUAAAUUUUUCAGAACUAAUAAUGUCAAAAAUUCAGGUUAAAAUUAAAAUCAGUACAAUGAUCAUUUUUCCAAUUACAUAGUUAUAAUUUUUGAAAUAAUCUAUUCUGAAGAUAUUUAAGAUCAAAAUAAAUUGUAUUUUUCUCCCCCCCAAAAAAGAUAACUGAGAAGUUUAGUAUCAGAAUUCUACAUAUAUGUCUCUGAAGUUGUUAUCCUAUGAAAUCUAAUGUCAUAAAAUUUAGAGCACUAUAACUUAUUGAUUUAUAAUUAAAAACCAGAGCAUGUUGAAAAAAAAA